rnacentral:rRNA from 1 species
GCCAGCCCGCUCAGAAACUUAAAGGAAUUGACGGGGGCCCGCACAAGCAGCGGAGCGUGUGGUUUAAUUCGAUGUUACACGAAGAACCUUACCCAGGUUUGACAUACAGGUGGUAGUGAUCCGAAAGGUGAGCGACCCGCAAGGGAGCCUGAACAGGUGCUGCAUGGCUGUCGUCAGCUCGUGUCGUGAGAUGUUCGGUUAAGUCCGCUAACGAGCGCAACCCUCGCUGUGUGUUACAAGUGUCACACGGGACCGCCGGUAUCAAGCCGGAGGAAGGUGGGGAUGACGUCAAGUCAGCAUGGCCUUUAUAUCUGGGGCUACACACACGCUACAAUGGUCGGUACAACGGGUCGCUAAGCCGCGAGGUAGAGCCAAUCCCACAAAGCCGGCCUCAGUUCAGAUCGUAGGCUGCAACUCGCCUGCGUGAAGUCGGAGUUGCUAGUAAACGCGCGUCAGCUAUAGUGCGUUGAAUACGUUCUCGGGCCUU